UAAGACGAACCGUGCGAACGUUGUUCGGAAUCACUGGGCUUAAAGGGAGCGUAGGCGGGCUAACAAGUCUGGGGUGAAAUGCCGCGGCUCAACCGUGGAACUGCCUUAGAUACUGUCGGCCUCGAGGGAGAUAGGGGCAUGCGGAACUGUAGGUGGAGCGGUGAAAUGCGUUGAUAUCUACAGGAACUCCGGUGGCGAAAGCGGCGUGCUGGAUCUCUUCUGACGCUGAGGCGCGAAAGUCAGGGGAGCGAACGGG
rnacentral:rRNA from 1 species